rnacentral:rRNA from 1 species
UUCCCUNAGACGCNGGCGGCNUNCNUAACACAUGCCAGUCUGACGAGAAAGUCCCCUUCGGGGGGUGAGUAAAGUGGCGCACGGGUGAGUAACACGUGGGUAACCUACCUAUAUGUCUGGGAUAACAUCUCGAAAGGGGUGCUAAUACCGGAUAAGCCCACGAAGCGGGAGCUUCGCGGGAAAAGAUGGCCUCUGAUUCAAGCUAUCGCGUGUAGAUGGGCCCACGGCCUAUCAGCUAGUUGGUGGGGUAAUGGCCCACCAAGGCUGCGACGGGUAGCCGGCCUGAGAGGGUGAACGGCCACACUGGAACUGAGACACGGUCCAGACUCCUACGGGAGGCAGCAGUGGGGAAUAUUGCGCAAUGGGCGAAAGCCUGACGCACAACGCCGCGUGAGGGAUGAAGGCCUUCNGGUUGUAAACUUCUUUUAAUCGGGAAAACCUCCUUGAUCAAAUANAAAUAGGACUGACGGUNCCAUUAAUAACCACGGUUACUCUGGCCACCACCCCGGUAAACAAAGUNGCAACCUUUUUCNAUUAUUGGCUAAAAACCCCUAGCCGCUUUUAAUCNNGUAAAUCCCGGCUUANCCC